rnacentral:rRNA from 1 species
GAUGAACGCUGGCGGCGUGCCUAAUACAUGCAAGUCGAGCGAACGGACGAGAAGCUUGCUUCUCUGAUGUUAGCGGCGGACGGGUGAGUAACACGUGGAUAACCUACCUAUAAGACUGGGAUAACUUCGGGAAACCGGAGCUAAUACCGGAUGAUAUUUUGAACCGCAUGGUUCAAAAGUGAAAGACGGUCUUGCUGUCACUUAUAGAUGGAUCCGCGCUGCAUUAGCUAGUUGGUAAGGUAACGGCUUACCAAGGCAACGAUGCAUAGCCGACCUGAGAGGGUGAUCGCCCACACGGUGACUGAGGCACGGUCCAGACUCCUACGGGAGGCAGCAGUAGGGAAUCUUCCGAAAUGGGCGAAAGCCUGACGGAACAACGCCGCGUGAGUGAUGAAGGUCUUCGGAUCGUAAAACUCUGUUAUUAGGGAAGAACAUAUGUGUAAGUAACUGUGCACAUCUUGACGGUACCUAAUCAGAAAGCCACGGCUAACUACGUG